CCUACGGGUGGCUGCAGUGGGGAAUAUUGGACAAUGGGCGAAAGCCUGAUCCAGCCAUGCCGCGUGUGUGAAGAAGGCCUUCGGGUUGUAAAGCACUUUCAGUGGGGAAGAAAGCCUUGGGGCUAAUACCCUCGAGGAAGGACAUCACCCACAGAAGAAGCACCGGCUAACUCCGUGCCAGCAGCCGCGGUAAUACGGAGGGUGCGAGCGUUAAUCGGAAUUACUGGGCGUAAAGCGCGCGUAGGCGGUCUGAUAAGCCGGUUGUGAAAGCCCCGGGCUCAACCUGGGAACGGCAUCCGGAACGGUCAGGCUAGAGUGCAGGAGAGGAAGGUAGAAUUCCCGGUGUAGCGGUGAAAUGCGUAGAGAUCGGGAGGAAUACCAGUGGCGAAGGCGGCCUUCUGGACUGACACUGACGCUGAGGUGCGAAAGCGUGGGUAGCAAACAGGAUUAGAUACCCUUGUAGUC
rnacentral:rRNA from 1 species